CUCAGAGCUGCAGCCAUGGUGGAGCUCUUGGCUUCACACAGUAGCCACUGGACUUACUGUGUUACACUUGGGGAGAGACCAUUCAGGAGUUCAUAAUAGAGAAGAGAAGUCAGAGAAGACGUGGGAGAGAAAAGGAUCCUGAAGAGAGAAGGAAGAAACCUCCUGGGAAAAAGGAGCUACGCUGCAAUGAUGAGGGAGCAGACCUGUCCCCAGAGCGAAAGGGUGAUGACCGUGACUCAGAAUGUUCAUGGAAAGGGAACAGAAGCAGCAAUGAGCCCUGAGAGUAUGGAUUUCUUGUCUAGGAGGUGACAUGAAUACAAGGCCUUGAUUUCAGGUGUGCAUUUGUGUCAAAGGGAGGAUUAUGAAGACCGUCUUCCACGUUCUGCACCUAGCAGAGCUGUGCCAAAAAGAUGGUAACCACCACUAUGAAAUGUCUCAGUAGGUGAGCAUGCACAUAAGUUCUGUGCCAAAUGUGCUUUGAAAUGUUCCCAAAACACUGGAGUGGUGGUCUGUGAUGAAAACAUAUCUCAGCCUUGCAUCUAAUGAUCAGCUAGGAUCCACUACAUCUGUUCCCUUUUCUCUCCGUAUCUGCCCUUUGCCAGCAGAGCACAUGCCUGUUUCUGGUUUGAGAUUGCUUUUUUGGGUCACUGAAGCAUGCUUGGUGAUGGCAGUGAGAAGCGGUGGCUCCUUUAGUACUUUCCUCACCUAAGCACUCUGUGCUGAAAAGCCAUCUUCAAACCGCAGGGCACCCAGCAGCAUCAGGAGAGAAAGUUCCCACCGCUGAUACUGCACAGGCACAGUUGGAUGGCAAUCCCUCCCUCAACAGUUUACAACUUGACUAAAUGCAAAAGUAAUCCACAGGCUUGU